UACGGGGGGGGGCAAGCGUUGUUCGGAAUUACUGGGCGUAAAGCGCACGUAGGCGGGUCGUUAAGUCAGGGGUGAAAUCCCGGAGCUCAACUCCGGAACUGCCUUUGAUACUGGCGACCUUGAGGCUGGAAGAGGUUAGUGGAAUUCCCAGUGUAGAGGUGAAAUUCGUAGAUAUUGGGAAGAACACCAGUGGCGAAGGCGGCUAACUGGUCCAGAUCUGACGCUGAGGUGCGAAAGCGUGGGGAGCAAACAGG
rnacentral:rRNA from 1 species